CAAGUGUCUUGUUUCACAGAACUUCCCAUGCCAUCCUAACAAGUGCAGGAUGUCAUUUUUUCCUGUAUCUUAGGCCAAUGGUACAUAUUUUUCUCUCUUUAUCGGCCUUUCUCACUGGUUUGUUUUGCUUGCAUACUAUGCCUCAUAGUAUUAUGACGCUGACCAACACUGGGAAGAAAAGCUCAAGCAGUCUGCACCGCAUGUACCAAACCUUCUGAUGAUCUCAUCUAAUUGUUCUUUAAAAAAAGCACAACAAAACGUGAAAUUGUUGUGACUCAAGAAAAAGAAGAAACUGCUUUGGAGUCUCCUCACUAUUGAUUCUGCUGUCAGUGUGAAUUCCCUGCACCCCUGUGAUCCGGAGACCAUUCAAAUGCUACUGAUUUGGACACUUUCAAGGUUAAGACUCACCCGUUCUCAGACAGAUCUCAUCUUUUGACUGGAACCAGGGUAUGAAAAAGUCAAAAACCUGCAAGAAAGAAAGGAGGAGAAUUACCUUUUCUGAGCUGAUUGAACUGUGACCUAGCAAUGUCAGUAACGAGAGAACUAAGUCAUCACUGCUGCUUCUGCUUGAUUCGGAUUUUAUCUUAACACUUUAGGGAGCUCACGGACCGAGCCUUCAUGCAGGAUUUUGUGGUUUCAAUGAACUGAAAGUAGGGCACUAAAGAUCGUCAGAGUAUUUCUUUGAUGACUGCAGCAGUUCUCACCGCUGCGGCACUGAUCUCCUGUUUUAAACGCUAAGCGAUUGCCAUUAGGCGGGUUCGUACCCUCCUUCCCGUGCAUCCUAUCCUAAGGUUUCACUCCCUCUCUCCGAAUACACAAAUUACCCAACGAGCCGGCGUCCCUACUGCUGCUGCACUUAGGAAAGUGAGAAGCGUUAGGUCUGCAUCCCCGAACCCGCUGUGCGCACAUGACCUCAAAGAACCCCAGAGUUCUCAAAAAAGCACACAGCUACGGGCUUGUGAACACGAUCUUUGUUUUCUCGUGAUUCGGUCCCUCUCCGGUUCUGCCCCUCGCCACAGCUGAUUUCAGUGAACUCCAGAGGGAAAUCACUUGUGGAAGAGGCACAGCAAUUGCUUCAGCUACUGCUGCCUUCUGACUGAAUCGAAAGGUGGUUGGUUUUUUGUUUUUUUUUUUUUAAACCUCGCUCUUCGUGUCUGAUGAGAUUAGUGACAAUAACACCCACGGGAGUGCCACACCUUUAUAGGCUGAGAGGGAAGUACAGAGCACGCUCUUCCUUCGGGGGGAGGUGGGGUGGCAGAGGAUGUAGAAGCUCAGGGUUCCGUGAUUGUUUCGAUGGAGUCAGUAGAGCGGCGAUGCUUACCCUAUGCAGAUGAAGCAGCGUUACCGACGUCCUCAUUUGUUUUAAAAUAUUCUCGCCAUUUCCACUGUCUAGCUGAGGCUUGCUUUGAGAAAUCUGGAAAGCUACCGUGCAUUUUUACUGCUGUUUGUCUCACAGAUUCGCUUCGGCUCCUCUGCAAGUUAAAGAUGCCAUUUGUUUGCUCUCAAAGAUGAAUGCAAUGUCACAUCCCUUCCCUCCGAGGCUGUGGUGCUCCCCCAGCACCGUGGCGUUUCGUGCUGGCGUUGCUCACUGCGGGCUGCCGGUGUUGCUGCGGACAGAUAUGCGUGCAGAUCGAUGGGCGAGCAGCCAGCCCUGCUUGUGCUGAUGUAGUGCUCAGGAGCACCCUCCCCAGAUUUUAAUCCUCUGUGGCUAACUUUUCCUGUUCCUCUGUGGCAAUGCCAGAUAUGCCUGCUAUGACUUGAGGAGGUGGUACUCUUCCUGUUGCACAGAGAACAAAGUCUUUCUGGACUGAGCCGUGGUUCAGUUUUGUCAUCUGUUCUUAAGCUGAACCAUCACCACUUCAUGUUUUUUUUUUUUUUUUUAAUGUGGCAAGUUCAGUAAGAAUUGGGUAACAUGUGACUAAUCUCUAUACCCCAUUUAAAAUCCAUUCGAAAUAGUGUUUUCUGCUUAAUUUCUUCUUGCCACCCCUCCAAAAAUUUGCCAGAUUACCCAAUUUCGUCUCUGUGUCUGGGUGCCACCCACCUCCCUGGUCUACUGAAAAUCCCCAUCCCAUACGGAUUGCUGGUCAUUUCCACAUGACAAUUUACUGAACGUCUUCUUCACGUCCAUACAGACAAAGGAAAAAAAGAGUGAUGUCUGGCGUUAACUUCAUCCCCCUUUUUUUCAAUAUUAAAAUGACUUUAACUGUCAAAGUUUGUUCUGAAGUCUCGUAUGUGACUGGCGCUCAUUCUGCUCAUCUUUCUCUCUUCCCCAUCUAUUUUUCUUCAGAUGGCAACGUUCCCAACUCAACGAAUUUACCAGCCCUCACUCGUCCAAACCCCGGCCUGAGUUGAUGAGUAAAAUAUGAACCAAUUGCCUCGGUUUUAGCACAUUUAACUCUUUGGUUUUGUUUCCACUUCGGGCAGUGACGUGUAUUUUGCAUUCAGCCUCGGCCACGCCACAGCCUGGAAGCUUCUUAUGGCGAACAGAGGUGUGAGGCCUCACUUCAGACGCUCUCCUGAUGCACGGCAGGACUACACUUCUGCUUGUUUCUGCCAGUGCCACUGAAAACCUCUUUCUGUCCCCUUUGUGCCCCCGCCGAGCUCUCUCUGUCAGCGAUUCUCACAGGGCAGAGUCACACGCUAACCCUCUCCUUGUUGAGGGGCCUUCCCUUGAGAAGGUACGCAGUUCCUUCUCCAGACAGCUUCGCAGCCUUCCUUCCCCCCGCACCCCACUUCCCACGCUUCGCUCAGUUUUUCUCUUCGCCCCCGAGCCCGAUGCCGCCCUGCGACUGCGAGUCGCGCCUCAGAGGCGGGGCGGCC
rnacentral:lncRNA from 1 species